AGAAGGGGUGAGGAGGGAAGAGGAGGAGGAGGGAAGAGGAGGAGGAGGGAGAGGAGGGAGGGGAGGAGGGGGAGUGCUGCUGGGCCUUUUCUCUAGUUGAGGUGAGCAGGCUUCUCACUGCGGCGGCUUCCCUUCAUGCAGAGCGUGGGCUCUAGGGCACGCAGGCUCAGUAGCUGUGGCCCCCAGGCUCUAGCGCACCGCCUCAAUAGCUGUACGGGCUCAGUUGCUCCUCGGGGUGUGGGAUCUUCCUGGACCAGGGUUUGAACCCAAGUCUCCUGGGUUGGUAGGCGGAGUCUUUCCCACUGAGCCCCCAGGGAAGCCCUUGCCACCCUCUUAGGUCAGCAUUGCUUGCCCCCGCCCCACUGUCCCCAGUAAACUCUCAGGUAUGAGGUUGGGCAGGUGGGAGGGAAGGAAGGCGGAACCGGCCAAGCUGUUGAACUCAUGCAUGUCAUUCAUUUGCUCACAUUGCUACAGCCUUAGCUGACCCCAGGGGCCUGUGGAGAAAGACAGGGUCCUCGUGCCUGCUCCCCGGAAGCCCUGCGUCUCGGCAACCUUUCCUGCAAGUCGGUUCCUGGACAUCACCUUCGAGAGGGUGUUAAUCCUCUCCCACAGUCAAGCUGUGGGUACUAAGAAAUCCCUCAGAGGUACUGAUGCUGGAAGUUUAAAGUUCAACUGGCGUGAUGCACACCAAAACGAUAAAGGUAAGAGGAUGUGGGAUAGAAUGUCUGGAACUUCAGCAACCAUAUUGUGAUUGUGAGGCAGUGGCAAAAGAGAAGAGCAUCAAAGUCUGAGGUGAAUAAACUACUGAGCUAACCUGCCUGCCCACCCCCACUCCCUGCCAGGAGCACUUCUGGGUACCAUGUAGCACCUGGAGGCAGAGAGGAACACUGCCAUUCCUGCCCCAAGACUCCUACAAUUGGGCAGGGGACACCUGAGUCCAGGCUGGGAUUGGGCAUCGAGGGGCCUUAGGAGUCACAAAGAGGCACCCACC
rnacentral:lncRNA from 1 species